rnacentral:rRNA from 1 species
GAUGAACGCUGGCGGCGUGCCUAAUACAUGCAAGUCGAGCGAACAGAUAAGGAGCUUGCUCCUUUGACGUUAGCGGCGGACGGGUGAGUAACACGUGGAUAACCUACCUAUAAGACUGGGAUAACUUCGGGAAACCGGAGCUAAUACCGGAUAACAUAUUGAACCGCAUGGUUCAAUAGUGAAAGGCGGCUUUGCUGUCACUUAUAGAUGGAUCCGCGCCGUAUUAGCUAGUUGGUAAGGUAACGGCUUACCAAGGCAACGAUACGUAGCCGACCUGAGAGGGUGAUCGGCCACACAGGAACUGAGACACGGUCCAGACUCCUACGGGAGGCAGCAGUAGGGAAUCUUCCGCAAUGGGCGAAAGCCUGACGGAGCAACGCCGCGUGAGUGAUGAAGGUCUUCGGAUCGUAAAACUCUGUUAUCAGGGAAGAACAAAUGUGUAAGUAACUGUGCACAUCUUGACGGUACCUGAUCAGAAAGCCACGGCUAACUACGUG